UCCACGGAUGAAAGCAGGGGACCUUCGGGCCUUGUGCUAUACGAGCGGCCGAUGUCUGAUUAGCUAGUUGGUGAGGUAAAGGCUCACCAAGGCGACGAUCAGUAGCGGGUCUGAGAGGAUGAUCCGCCACACUGGGACUGAGACACGGCCCAGACUCCUACGGGAGGCAGCAGUGGGGAAUUUUGGACAAUGGGCGCAAGCCUGAUCCAGCCAUGCCGCGUGUCUGAAGAAGGCCUUCGGGUUGUAAAGGACUUUUGUCAGGGAGCAAAACUUACUGGUUAAUACCUGGUGAGGUUGAGAGUACCUGAAGAAUAAGCACCGGCUWACUACGUGCCAGCAGCCGCGGUWAUACCUAGGGUGCAAGCGUUUAAUCGGAAUUACUGGGCGUAAAAGCGUGCGCAGGCGGACUUUUA
rnacentral:rRNA from 1 species